ACGUUAGACUCACAUCCUUACUCUUGGAGACCUAAGGUGUUCGGGUCAUACCUAAGUUUUCAAACUUUCCCAAUGCCCCUAGUCCUAGCCUUUCUUCUCUCAAACUCUAUAUACUUUCUCACCUUCCCCACAACCUAAGCUUAUCAUAAAAAAAUCCACGGUCCUAGUAUUGGGAAAACUACGAAAAGUAGGUCUUAAUGCAUCAAUCAAACUAGAAAACUAGAAAAUAAGAAAGAAACAUGGACAUAAAAAUGCAAGAAAUAAAAGUGCA
rnacentral:lncRNA from 1 species